AGCCCCCCUCAAGAUGAGAUUUCCCAUAGCGUAAGCUAGUAAGAUCCCUGAAAGAUGAUCAGGUUGAUAGGUCAGAGGUGGAAGCGUGGCGACAUGUGUAGCUGACUGAUACUAAUCGAUCGAGGACUUAACCAAA
rnacentral:rRNA from 1 species